rfam:Rattus norvegicus chromosome 10, whole genome shotgun sequence.
GGGGAUUUAGCUCAGUGGUACAGCGCUUGCCUAGCAAGCACAAGGCCCUGGGUUCGGUCCCCAGCUCCG